UUAUAGCUGGCGGGAGGUUGGCAAUCUCACUUGGGCUCAUAACCCUUGAAAAUCUGGUUCGAUUCCAGAGCGUUAGC
rnacentral:tRNA from 1 species